rnacentral:rRNA from 1 species
UACAGAGGUGGCAAGCGUUGUCCGGAAUUAUUGGGCGUAAAGAGCUCGUAGGCGGUUCGGCAAGUCGGAUGUGAAAUCUCCACGCUUAACGUGGAGGGGCCAUUCGAAACUGCCGUGACUCGAGUCCGGUAGGGGAGUGCGGAAUUCCCGGUGUAGCGGUGAAAUGCGCAGAUAUCGGGAGGAACACCAGUGGCGAAGGCGGCACUCUGGGCCGGAACUGACGCUGAGGAGCGAAAGCGUGGGGAGCGAACAGG